rnacentral:rRNA from 1 species
UAUGUCUCUUCCACUGCUUCGUAUGGUCUGCUUCUUCAGUCUGCACCGUCUUGUGAACUUUCGGCUUUCUCUGAUGCGGAUUGGGCUGGAAGUCCUGAUGAUCGGCGAUCCACGGGGGGAUAUGCAGUGUUCUUUGGUCCUAACUUGAUCGCCUGGAAUGCUCGCAAGCAAGCCACCGUGUCUCGUAGCAGUACUGAAGCUGAGUAUAAAGCAGUUGCUGAUGCUACCGCUGAGAUCAUAUGGGUACAGUCCUUAUUGCGGGAGUUGAGAAUCUCUUCAGGUCAUCCUCCAGUUCUGUGGUGUGAUAACAUUGGUACUACAUACCUUUCAUCUAAUCCGGUGUUUCAUGCUAGGACGAAACACAUUGAGGUUGACUAUCAUUUUGUUCGGGAACGUGUUGCACAGAGACUACUUUGUAUCAAGUUCAUCUCCUCAAAAGAUCAACUUGCUGACAUCUUCACGAAGCCUCUUCCACAACCACAGUUUGUAGGCUGUAGGCGCAAUCUUAACUUACUUUGUACUUCAGGCUAUAGUUAA